rnacentral:lncRNA from 14 species
AGACAGGUCAGUGAGUAGCUGCAGAGAGCUUCCCUCUCAAAGGAGUCUUGAAAGGCUGUUGUGAUAACUUAAGUUUCUGAAAGUGUUCCAGAUUGAAGCACCUACAUCUAGUAGUUUUAGUUGUUCUUUCUCAGUUUUGUUCCUGGCUUAGUCGUGCUUUGGUCAGAAGAUGAUGCACAUCCUGUACCAGGAGAGAAGCCUUCUGCAGAAGUGUGAGCAGAGAAUCGAGGAGGGCUUGCUUUGUGUGGAGAAGAUUGAAAACUACUGAGAGAGGAUGCUGCAUUUCAUCAAAGGACAACCAUAUGCUGAAGCCCAUUUACUGAGGCCCAGACAACAUCGCUUCUUCAGUGGGAAGCUGAUAAUUCUUAGUGUCAAGCAAGAACCUGCAUUAGCAAACCAGCUGCACAUCUGCUGUUGUAAUGGUACCUGA